rnacentral:rRNA from 1 species
GGUGAGUAAUACGUGAGUGACCUACCUUUGACUCUGGGAUAAGCCUGGGAAACUGGGUCUAAUACCGGAUACGACCAAUCUCCGCAUGGGGUGUUGGUGGAAAGCGUUAUGGAGUGGUUUUAGAUGGGCUCACGGCCUAUCAGCUUGUUGGUGAGGUAAUGGCUUACCAAGGCGACGACGGGUAGCCGGCCUGAGAGGGUGACCGGCCACACUGGGACUGAGACACGGCCCAGACUCCUACGGGAGGCAGCAGUGGGGAAUAUUGCACAAUGGGCGCAAGCCUGAUGCAGCGACGCCGCGUGAGGGAUGACGGCCUUCGGGUUGUAAACCUCUGUUAGCAUCGAAGAAGCGAAAGUGACGGUAGGUGCAGAGAAAGCGCCGGCUAACUACGUGCCAGCAGCCGCGGUAAUACGUAGGGCGCGAGCGUUGUCCGGAAUUAUUGGGCGUAAAGAGCUUGUAGGCGGUUGGUCGCGUCUGCUGUGAAAGGCUGGGGCUUAACCCUGGUUUUGCAGUGGGUACGGGCUAACUAGAGUGCAGUAGGGGAGACUGGAAUUCCUGGUGUAGCGGUGG